AGCGAACGCUGGCGGCGUGCCUAACACAUGCAAGUCGAACGCGAAAGGGAGCAAUCCCUAGUAAAGUGGCGUACGGGUGAGUAACACGUAGGUAAUCUACCCCAGAAUCUGGAAUAACCGGCCGCAAGGCUGGCCAAAACCUGAUAGAGCGACGGAAUCCUUAACUCGGUUUUUAGGGAAAAGGAGCCUGUAAAAAGGACUUCGUUCUGGGAUGAGCUUGCGUUCCAUCAGCUAGUUGGUGAGGUAAAAGCUAACCAAGGCAAUGAAGCGUAGCUGGUCUGAGAGGACGAUCAGCCACACUGGGACUGAAACACGGCCCAGACUCCUACGGGAGGCAGCAGUGGGGAAUCUUGCGCAAUGGACGAAAGUCUGACGGAGCAACGCCGCGUGAGUGAAGAAGGCCUUCGGGUCGUAAAGCUCUGUCGGGUGGGAAGAAAAUGGGUGGAGUUCAAAGGCCCAGGAAGUGACGGUACCAAUAAAGGAAGCAACGGCUAACUCCGUG
rnacentral:rRNA from 1 species